rnacentral:lncRNA from 1 species
AGAGCUUCCUGAUUCUCUACUACUUUCCCCCGAAAUUGAGUUUCAAUCGCCUCUAAUGGCGAUGCCUUAAUCUGUGAUGAACGGCUUGAGCUCUGCCGAUUUCUCAUCCAACGCGAUUCAAUCUAUUUCUAGUAAGAUUUGAACACAGAACUCUCUAUCCCUCUCACUCUCUCUCUCUCUCACUCUCUAUCUUUCAUUCUCUGAUCAGUGAACAAACGUCUCAACUCUGCUAUAUCUGAUCGAUCAACACAUCUCAUCUCUCUCCCAGGCAUCGUAUCAAUGGAUUCAACUUCUGUACAACAACAAACAAAAAGAUCCGAAGAGGAUGAACAGGCUAGCGGUUCUGCUAUUAAUUCAUCUUGAACAAUCCAACAUGAUCAUAAUCUCAAUAAUCUGAACUCUGUUCCUCUAGAUUAGUAUUCAAACGGUUCUUUUGAUUCAUCUCAAUUAUCACUUGUUAUGAUCGAAUUUUGUAAAUUAUUUUGUUAGGCAGUUGCAUAUUUGAAUGAUUCAUAGAAAUGUUCAUAACUAGUUAUGUACACGUUCAUAACCAGUUAUACAUCUGCUCAAUGCCUUUGACUUCUGAUACUGUUUCUAUACAACAAAUAGCCCAAACAUGCUUUUCUGAAUUAUUCAUAUAAAUCUUCAUAACUAGUUAUGUAUACAUUCA